rnacentral:rRNA from 1 species
CUACGGGAGGCAGCAGUAGGGAAUAUUGGGCAAUGGGCGAAAGCCUGACCCAGCAACGCCGCGUGCACGAUGAAGGUCUUCGGAUCGUAAAGUGCUUUUCUGAGAGAUGAGAAAGGACAGUAUCUCAGGAAUAAGCCUCGGCUAACUACGUGCCAGCAGCCGCGGUAAAACGUAGGAGGCGAGCGUUAUCCGGAUUUACUGGGCGUAAAGCGUGUGUAGGCGGUUCGGCAAGUUGGAUGUGAAAGCUCCUGGCUUAACUAGGAGAGGUCGUUCAAUACUACCGAACUUGAGGGCAUCAGAGGAGAGUGGAAUUCCCGGUGUAGUGGUGAAAUGCGUAGAUAUCGGGAGGAACACCAGUGGCGAAAGCGGCUCUCUGGGAUGAUCCUGACGCUCAGACACGAAAGCUAGGGUAGCGAACGGGAUUAGAUACCCCGGU